UACGGAGGGUGCGAGCGUUGUCCGGAAUCACUGGGCGUAAAGGGCGCGUAGGCGGCCUGAUAAGUAGGGGGUGAAAUCCUGCGGCUUAACCGCAGGGCUGCCUUCUAAACUGUCAGGCUGGAGCACAGUAGAGGCAGGUGGAAUUCCCGGUGUAGCGGUGGAAUGCGUAGAGAUCGGGAAGAACAUCAGUGGCGAAGGCGGCCUGCUGGGCUGUUGCUGACGCUGAGGCGCGACAGCGUGGGGAGCAAACAGGAUUAGAAACCCCACGUA
rnacentral:rRNA from 1 species